rnacentral:misc_RNA from 1 species
GAGAAAAAACCUUGCUUUUUUCCCCUUAAAAAAAAGAAUACCAUGAAAAUUGUUGAUUGUUUGCUUAUUUUCAUGUUUAACAUAUAUGAAUUUUUGCAUUUCAUUCAAGACAUUGAAUUCAUUUAUUGAUGAUGAGACUUAGACUCAAUGACUAUCCUUUGUGAAAGAAUUCAACCUUGAACACUUGUGGUUCUCAGUUGGAUGAUCGUGAACAUGUACAGUUUAUCAUCUGUUUAUUAGGAGCCAUUUUGUGUUGUAAAGUUUUGAGUGUUUAUCAUUUUUUGGAGUGCUACGAUUUUUUUAUUAAAAUCUCUCAGUUAAGAUCACUGUCCAUUUGACUUUGUUCAUUACACGUCGCUGUGCAUCCCAAAUCUUGUUAUAAAAGACAAAUUCAUUUUUAUUUAUUGUAUUAAACUUUUCCCUGUAUAUACAACAUUCUGGUUUUUGUUUUCAUUACAUGCAGAAAUCUAUUGGUUUUUUGGUUUUUUUUACCAAUUGUUUUGUUGUACAUGGGAUAUGUAUUUUAUAAUUUUGUUGUAGAUUUCAGAGGGAGAGUUUAACAUGCAUGUACGUGUAUACAUAGUUGUUCUCCAGCAGUCAUUUUUUUUUUCAUCCCUUUGUUUCUCGAAGAUUAUGUGUUACUUGACCAUUUUAUAUACAUGUACAUUUUGAACAAGUCAUUUAUUUCAAAAGAAUACAGUGCUGUUGUGGAUUGGAUAGGAGGUAGCUUCUUAAGGAUGCUCCGGCUUAAUUUCUUAGCUGGUAAAUGAAAUUUAUGGAGGUGGGGGAGGAGAGAUGAAAAAGGUCUCUAAAUAUCAGUCUUGCAUAAUUGUAGUCUCAUAGUAUUGUUCAAUGCAUUAUUUCCAUGCUGGGUGACUUAAACUAGUUGGCUAUCUGAUUAAAUGAAAAACAAGAGAGUUAUCAAUAUACCUUUUACCUUUGAUUUGUGUGGAAAGAAGGAAAAUCAUAGAACCCUCAUAUUAAAUGAAAAAAAAUAUCUUGUUUUUAAAAUCACAAUAUACACAGAUGUUUCAGGAAGAAAGUGAAGGGGUGAAUAGCUUGGGUUUUUUUUUCUCAUUCUCUCUCUCUCUGUUGAGUUGUCAAUUGCGGGAGGAAGCUUACAGCAAAACCAAACUUCUUAGUGGACUGAAAUAUAUGUACAUGCACAACAUUGCAACAUUCUUGUGAAAUAGUGACAUUGUUUUGUAUCAUUUACAUGUAAAGUUGUAUUGUAAUUUGUGAAAGUUGGUAUUUUGGCACUAAUUGUUCAUAGGAUUUCUCAGAGAUUUGACCUUGCAUUGUACAUGUUGUAGUUACAAAUUUAAUUUUUAAAAGAAGUAAAAAAGCAUUUGAGUUAAGAAAAAGUAAAGAAUAAUAUGACAUACAUAUACAAAUUUGUAUGUACAUGAUAAAAAUUAUUCUAUGACAAAUUAAGCCAAAAUAUUGACUUCACAAUUAUCAUAAAAUUUAUCUCGUUUCAUAACAUGUACUGUGUGAUGUUAACAUGUACAUAUGAAGUCAAAUAUUGUGAUUUGUUUUUUUUUUUUUAAGAGUGACUAAAUUUGGACUUAUGUAUGGUAUGGAAUUGGUUAUGAAUGGAUUUGAGUAAUAGUGUGUAGAUGAAAAGAAACAGCAAAACCACUAUAUUAAAGAUUACAGUAUAACAAG